GCCUGGGGGGCUCAGUUGGUUAAGCGUCUGAUUUCGGCUCAGGUCAUGAUCUCACGGUUUGUGGGUUUGAGCCCCGCAUCGGGCU
rnacentral:tRNA from 1 species